CAGGGAGACAACAAAAUGUUUAAUAUUAUUAUUUUGUCACCUUAGGUCGAUCGGUAUCUCACGUUCUUAAUUUAUUAAGAAUUUCAUUUCCUAAGUUUUUCUAGGUCACACCCAUUAUUUUCCUGGGCCAUUAGCUCAGGUGGUUAGAGCGCACCCCUGAUAAGGGUGAGGUCCCUGGUUCAAGUCCAGGAUGGCCCAUAUCUCUAUGUUGGGGGUAUAGCUCAGUUGGUAGAGCGCCUGCUUUGCAAGCAGGAUGUCAGCGGUUCGAGUCCGCUUACCUCCACUGAUUACCACCUCUACCAUAAUUUGUAGAAGGGAAUAUUUUGAGUUGUGAUCAAAUUCUGAACGAAUCUAGCUUCCUAAUGAAAUCAUUAAGAUGCUGGACUCAUUGAAUUAAUUUCAUUGUUUUCAGAGAACCUUGACAACUGCAUAGAUUAUUUUUAAAGACAAUAAGCAUCUUUAAUGAUGCAGAUUUAUUAUUUGUGCUAAUGCAUUAAUAACAAUUCUAUUAAGCUGAUGCUUCAAUUUUGAAGUUAUU
rnacentral:tRNA from 1 species